GGAGUGGUGACCGAGAGGCCGAAGGUGUACGCUUGGAAAGCGUAUGUACCCUAACCGGGUACCGAGGGUUCGAAUCCCUCCCGCUCCG
rfam:Spirochaeta sp. LTC14_002_19_P3 _18, whole genome shotgun sequence.